UACGUAGGGGGCGAGCGUUGUCCGGAUUUAUUGGGCGUAAAGAGCUCGUAGGCGGCUUGUCGCGUCGUCUGUGAAAUCCCGCGGCUCAACUGCGGGCUGGCAGUCGAUACGGGCAGGCUGGAGUUCGGUAGGGGAGACUGGAAUUCCUGGUGUAGCGGUGAAAUGCGCAGAUAUCAGGAGGAACACCGGUGGCGAAGGCGGGUCUCUGGGCCGAUACUGACGCUGAGGAGCGAAAGCGUGGGGAGCGAACAGG
rnacentral:rRNA from 1 species